rnacentral:tRNA from 1 species
GCCUGGGUGGCUCAGUCGGUAAAGCAUCCGACUUCGGCUCAGGUCGUGAUCUCACGGUUCGUGGGUUCGAGCCCCGCGUCGGGCU